UGGGGAAUAUUGCACAAUGGGCGCAAGCCUGAUGCAGCAACGCCGCGUGAACGAUGAAGGUCUUCGGAUCGUAAAGUUCUGUUGCAGGGGAAGAUAAUGACGGUACCCUGUGAGGAAGCCCCGGCUAACUACGUGCCAGCAGCCGCGGUAAUACGUAGGGGGCUAGCGUUAUCCGGAUUUACUGGGCGUAAAGGGUGCGUAGGUGGUCUUUCAAGUCGGUGGUUAAAGGCUACGGCUCAACCGUAGUUAGCCUCCGAAACUGGAAGACUUGAGUGCAGGAGAGGAAAGUGGAAUUCCCAGUGUAGCGGUGAAAUGCGUAGAUAUUGGGAGGAACACCAGUAGCGAAGGCGGCUAUCUGGACAGUAACUGACGCUGAGGCGCGAAAGCGUGGGUAGCAAACAGG
rnacentral:rRNA from 1 species